UUGCCCAGUAACGGCGAGUGAAGCGGCAACAGCUCAAAUUUGAAAUCUGGUCCCCAGGGCCCGAGUUGUAAUUUGCAGAGGAUGCUUUUGGUGAGGUGCCUUCCGAGUUCCCUGGAACGGGACGCCAUAGAGGGUGAGAGCCCCGUCUGGUUGGAUACCGAGCCUCUGUAAAGCUCCUUCGACGAGUCGAGUAGUUUGGGAAUGCUGCUCUAAAUGGGAGGUAUAUGUCUUCUAAAGCUAAAUAUUGGCCAGAGACCGAUAGCGCACAAGUAGAGUGAUCGAAAGAUGAAAAGCACUUUGAAAAGAGGGUUAAAUAGUACGUGAAAUUGUUGAAAGGGAAGCACUUAUGACCAGACUUGGCCCCGGUGAAUCAUCCAGCGGUUCCCGCUGGUGCACUUUGCCGGGGUUCAGGCCAGCAUCAGUUCGCUCCGGGGGAUAAAGGCUUUGGGAAUGUGGCUCCCUCGGGAGUGUUAUAGCCCAUUGCGUAAUACCCUGUGGCGGGCUGAGGUUCGCGCUUUAUGCAAGGAUGCUGGCAUAAUGGUCAUCAGUGACCCGUCUUGAAACACGGACCAAGGAGUCGUCUUCGUAUGCGAGUGUUCGGGUGUUAAACCCCUACGCGUAAUGAAAGUGAACGCAGGUGAGAGCCCUUCAGGGCGCAUCAUCGACCGAUCCUGAUGUUCUCGGAUGGAUUUGAGUAAGAGCAUACGGGGCCGGACCCGAAAGAAGGUGAACUAUGCCUGUAUAGGGUGAAGCCAGAGGAAACUCUGGUGGAGGCUCGCAGCGGCUUCUGACGUGCAAAUCGAUCGUCAAAUAUGGGCAUGGGGGCGAAAGACUAAUCGAACCUUCUAGUAGCUGGGUUUCCGCCGAAG
rnacentral:rRNA from 1 species